rnacentral:lncRNA from 1 species
UCACUUUUCCUUCCUCUCACGGUUUUUUGCAGAAGCAAGUGCUCAGGGAAAUGAAGACAGGAGAACUGCUGCCGUCAUGAGCUAUGCCGACAGUCAGCAGCUGAUCCCCGACAGAAACGCAGCAGAUGCAGACGCUCCUGAUGAAAUCAUCCCUGUGGGGAGUGCAGGGCCAGAUGGGGACUCCAUGGAGACAGCCGACCGGCGACAGCCUUCAGCUCCGACAAAGACACAUCACCUUGCAAAUGACACUUUGCCGUCUGGUUUCUGUGUUUUGUUGUAACAGGUUAAAUGAACCCCUGGGCUUAAUUUUCCCCCUACUUAGUUCUGUGGCAGCAAAGAAAAGUGACUUCUUUUCAUUUCUCAGCUCAAAACUUCUUAAGCCGUGUCUCUUCCUCAUCAUCC